CACGGGGUACUGAGAGGUGCUGAGGGAGGGUCGGGGACAUGGCGGGCACGGGGUACUGAGAGGUGCUGAGGGAGGGUCGGGGACAUGGCGGGCACGGGGUACUGAGAGGUGCUGAGGGAGGGUCGGGGACAUGGCGGGCACGGGGUACUGAGAGGUGCUGAGGGAGGGUCGGGGACAUGGCGGGCACGGGGUACUGAGAGGUGCUGAGGGAGGGUCGGGGACAUGGCGGGCACGGGGUACUGAGAGGUGCUGAGGGAGGGUCGGGGACAUGGCGGGCACGGGGUACUGAGAGGUGCUGAGGGAGGGUCGGGGACAUGGCGGGCACGGGGUACUGAGAGGUGCUGAGGGAGGGUCGGGGACAUGGCGGGCACGGGGUACUGAGAGGUGCUGAGGGAGGGUCGGGGACAUGGCGGGCACGGGGUACUGAGAGGUGCUGAGGGAGGGUCGGGGACAUGGCGGGCACGGGGUACUGAGAGGUGCUGAGGGAGGGUCGGGGACAUGGCGGGCACGGGGUACUGAGAGGUGCUGAGGGAGGGUCGGGGACAUGGCGGGCACGGGGUACUGAGAGGUGCUGAGGGAGGGUCGGGGACAUGGCGGGCACGGGGUACUGAGAGGUGCUGAGGGAGGGUCGGGGACAUGGCGGGCGCGGGGUACUGAGAGGAUUUCCUGCCAGGCUCAGCCCCAGAGAAGCCACAGCCCCAGAUGGUGACUUGGUGCUUCCAUUCCUGAGGUGAGGGGGCACCAGGUGGCUGGACCAAGAGCUGAUUCUGCAGGAUGGUGAGAGCUGUUCUUGCAGUUUGGUAAUAUUUGUGUGGUCUUUCUGGGUUAUCACAUAAUCAUAGAAGGGUUUGGGCUGGAAGGGACCAUAAAGACCAUGUCCUUCCAGCCCCUGCCAUGGGCA